AAGUCGAACGGUAACAUUUCUAGCUUGCUAGAAGAUGACGAGUGGCGGACGGGUGAGUAAUGCUUGGGAACUUGCCUUUGCGAGGGGGAUAACAGUUGGAAACGACUGCUAAUACCGCAUAAUGUCUUCGGACCAAACGGGGCUUCGGCUCCGGCGCAAAGAGAGGCCCAAGUGAGAUUAGCUAGUUGGUUAGGUAACGGCUUACCAAGGCGACGAUCUCUAGCUGUUCUGAGAGGAAGAUCAGCCACACUGGGACUGAGACACGGCCCAGACUCCUACGGGAGGCAGCAGUGGGGAAUAUUGCACAAUGGGGGAAACCCUGAUGCAGCCAUGCCGCGUGUGUGAAGAAGGCCUUCGGGUUGUAAAGCACUUUCAGUUGUGAGGAAAAGUUAGUAGUUAAUACCUGCUAGCCGUGACGUUAACAACAGAAGAAGCACCGGCUACCUCCGUGCCAGCAGUCGCGGUAAUACGGAGGGUGCGAGCGUUAAUCGGAAUUACUGGGCGUAAAGCGCACGCAGGCGGUUUGUUAAGCUAGAUGUGAAAGCCCCGGGCACAACCUGGGAUGGUCAUUUAG
rnacentral:rRNA from 1 species